UCUUUUCUUUGUUAUUAGAACUUCCCACAAACUUUUCAUUCGCUGAUUUUUUCUUUUUACAGUUAUGCAAAUGUACGUGUUAAGUUUUUGUAUUUUGUGGUCUUUUGAUGUAUUCCUGCCAUCUUUAUUGCUCUUUUUAGCCCGCCUUUUUAUUUCAAUGUGAAGCCAUUUUCACUAUAGGAUCCUCUAUGUAAGGGAGAGGCUGUUCUUACCAGGAACAAAGUGCAUAAGAGCUUAAGGCUCCAAGAACUAUUGGUAGAAUUCAAAAAGGUUUUGAUUUUGAUUAUGUAGGUUUUUUCUCCCCUUCUCCCAAUUGGACUUUGUUCCCUUGCUCUCUUGAAAAUGAAAAGAAAUCAAUGCUCAAACGAUAUAGACAAA